rnacentral:tRNA from 1 species
GGAGAGAUGGCUGAGUGGUUGAAAGCCCCGGUCUUGAAAACCGGUAUAGGAAAAAACUAUCGAGGGUUCGAAUCCCUCUCUCUCCU